UCUAUUUAGAGGAAUUUGCCCCUUAAUCGAUAGUCCCCGUUUUAUCUUACUUGUAAUUUGUUUUCAGUAUGUAUAUCGCCGUUAUAAGUUUAUUUUUUUAGGAUUUAUAAUUUACUUUAAAUUUUAUUUUAUGGUAUUUCAGGUCAAGGUGCAGUUAAUAUUUAAGUGGAGGUGAAUUACAAUAUUAUUUAAAUAAAUGGAUUUUUUUUUAAAGAUGAUAAUGAAAGUGGAUUUGAUAGUAAUUUUGUUAAUAUAGGCAUUUUGAUUUUAGCUCUAAAAUAAGUACACAUCGCCCGUC
rnacentral:rRNA from 1 species